rnacentral:rRNA from 1 species
AUGCAAGUCGAACGAACCUUCGGGUUAGUGGCGGACGGGUGAGUAACGCGUGAGAAUCUGCCCUCAGGAGGGGGACAACAGUUGGAAACGACUGCUAAUACCCCAUAUGCCGCGAGGUGAAAUGAAUUUCGCCUGAGGAUGAGCUCGCGUCUGAUUAGCUAGUUGGUGUAGGUAAUGGCUCACCAAGGCAUCGAUCAGUAGCUGGUCUGAGAGGAUGAUCAGCCACACUGGGACUGAGACACGGCCCAGACUCCUACGGGAGGCAGCAGUGGGGAAUUUUCCGCAAUGGGCGAAAGCCUGACGGAGCAACGCCGCGUGAGGGAUGAAGGCCUCUGGGCUGUAAACCUCUUUUAUCAAGGAAGAAGAUCUGACGGUACUUGAUGAAUAAGCCACGGCUAAUUCCGUGCCAGCAGCCGCGGUAAUACGGGAGUGGCAAGCGUUAUCCGGAAUUAUUGGGCGUAAAGCGUCCGCAGGCGGCCCUUCAAGUCUGCUGUUAAAAAGUGGAGCUUAACUCCAUCAUGGCAGUGGAGA